UACGGAGGAUGCAAGCGUUAUCCGGAAUGAUUGGGCGUAAAGCGUCCGCAGGUGGCAGUUCAAGUCUGCUGUCAAAGACCGGGGCUUAACUUCGGAAAGGCAGUGGAAACUGAACAGCUAGAGUAUGGUAGGGGCAGAGGGAAUUCCUGGUGUAGCGGUGAAAUGCGUAGAUAUCGUAAGGAAGACCAGUGGCGAAGGCGGAUCUCUGGACAGUUACUGACACUGAGGCACGAAGGCCAGGGGAGCAAACGGG
rnacentral:rRNA from 1 species